AGCAGCCGCGGUAAUUCCAGCUCCAAUAGCGUAUAUUAAAGUUGUUGCAGUUAAAAAGCUCGUAGUUGAAUUUCGGGGUUAGCAGGUCGGUCGUGCCAUCGGUAUGAACUGGUCUCGCUGAUCCCUCCCUCUUGACGAACUGUGAUGCCAUUAAUUUGGUGUCGCAGGGAAUCAGGACUGUUACUUUGAAAAAAUUAGAGUGUUUAAAGCAGGCUCACGCUUGAAUACAUUAGCAUGGAAUAAUGAAAUAGGACGUUUGAUCCUAUUUUGUUGGCUUCUAGGAUUGACGUAAUGAUUAAUAGGGAUAGUUGGGGGCAUUAGUAUUUAAUUGUCAGAGGUGAAAUUCUUGGAUUUAUUGAAGACUAACUACUGCGAAAGCAUUUGCCAAGGAUGUUUUCAUUAAUCAAGAACGAAAGAUAGGGGAUCGAAGACGAUCAGAUACCGUCGUAGUCUUAACCAUAAACUAUGCCGACUAGGGAUCGGAUGAUGUUAAUUUUUUAAUGACUCA
rnacentral:rRNA from 1 species